UUGAACGCUGGCGGCAGGCCUAACACAUGCAAGUCGAACGGUAACAGAAAGCAGCUUGCUGCUUUGCUGACGAGUGGCGGACGGGUGAGUAAUGUCUGGGAAACUGCCUGAUGGAGGGGGAUAACUACUGGAAACGGUAGCUAAUACCGCAUAACGUCGCAAGACCAAAGAGGGGGACCUUCGGGCCUCUUGCCAUCGGAUGUGCCCAGAUGGGAUUAGCUAGUAGGUGGGGUAACGGCUCACCUAGGCGACGAUCCCUAGCUGGUCUGAGAGGAUGACCAGCCACACUGGAACUGAGACACGGUCCAGACUCCUACGGGAGGCAGCAGUGGGGAAUAUUGCACAAUGGGCGCAAGCCUGAUGCAGCCAUGCCGCGUGUAUGAAGAAGGCCUUCGGGUUGUAAAGUACUUUCAGCGGGGAGGAAGGGAGUAAAGUUAAUACCUUUGCUCAUUGACGUUACCCGCAGAAGAAGCACCGGCUAACUCCGUGCCAGCAGCCGCGGUAAUACGGAGGGUGCAAGCGUUAAUCGGAAUUACUGGGCGUAAAGCGCACGCAGGCGGUUUGUUAAGUCAGAUGUGAAAUCCCCGGGCUCAACCUGGGAACUGCAUCUGAUACUGGCAAGCUUGAGUCUCGUAGAGGGGGGUAGAAUUCCAGGUGUAGCGGUGAAAUGCGUAGAGAUCUGGAGGAAUACCGGUGGCGAAGGCGGCCCCCUGGACGAAGACUGACGCUCAGGUGCGAAAGCGUGGGGAGCAAACAGGAUUAGAUACCCUGGUAGUCCACGCCGUAAACGAUGUCGACUUGGAGGUUGUGCCCUUGAGGCGUGGCUUCCGGAGCUAACGCGUUAAGUCGACCGCCUGGGGAGUACGGCCGCAAGGUUAAAACUCAAAUGAAUUGACGGGGGCCCGCACAAGCGGUGGAGCAUGUGGUUUAAUUCGAUGCAACGCGAAGAACCUUACCUGGUCUUGACAUCCACGGAAGUUUUCAGAGAUGAGAAUGUGCCUUCGGGAACCGUGAGACAGGUGCUGCAUGGCUGUCGUCAGCUCGUGUUGUGAAAUGUUGGGUUAAGUCCCGCAACGAGCGCAACCCUUAUCCUUUGUUGCCAGCGGUCCGGCCGGGAACUCAAAGGAGACUGCCAGUGAUAAACUGGAGGAAGGUGGGGAUGUCGUCAAGUCAUCAUGGCCCUUACGACCAGGGCUACACACGUGCUACAAUGGCGCAUACAAAGAGAAGCGACCUCGCGAGAGCAAGCGGACCUCAUAAAGUGCGUCGUAGUCCGGAUUGGAGUCUGCAACUCGACUCCAUGAAGUCGGAAUCGCUAGUAAUCGUGGAUCAGAAUGCCACGGUGAAUACGUUCCCGGGCCUUGUACACACCGCCCGUCACACCAUGGGAGUGGGUUGCAAAAGAAGUAGGUAGCUUAACCUUCGGGAGGGCGCUUACCACUUUGUGAUUCAUGACUGGGGUG
rnacentral:rRNA from 1 species